GCCGGCACGACGCACGCGCGAUCACUACAGUGCCCCGAACCAAACUCGCGACCGUGCACCUAACGAACUGUUGUGUUGACUGUGCUAACAUGGAUAUACUCACCCUGGACCCAACUGGACUUUAUUAGAAAAACAACCGCCACGAUGGAUUCUACUCUGGACCCCACUGGUCAGUACUAACUUCUAGAACCCCACAUUUGUCCAAAUCCUAUAAGAAUCUUAUUAUAUAAAAAAUGGACACGAAAGUACUUGAUCCUACUGGGCAAUACUAAAGUGACAAUGAUCGGUUUAGACCCCACGGAAAUAUACUAAACCCCCAUAUCCGAUGAGACAAGAUGUGUUGCGGAAGACGCAGGAUAUUCACAGGCACCAGCCCGCGGGAGACAUCCUCGUGUAGAAAGCGGAGGUUCAGCUCCGAACACCACUGAACCAUAAACAACUCAUCGCCUGUAAAUACUAUGAAUAAAAUGAAGGGAGGACGUGUUCGCAAGGUCAUUGGAUGGAAAUCAGCUGACUCGCGCGCCGCGUGCAAUCCGGAAAUGAACACCCAUAGAAACAACAACGUUUGGAACAUUAUCAAUUGCAGCAGCCUGUUUCUAUCUGGACAACACUAAAAUUCAAUUCAAAUGUAAAUGCGACUACAUCGGCCUUCAGCUUCACAUCACUUUCAUCAUCAUCAUUUCCUCUAUCACCAUCAUCAUGAUCAUCAUCAUCAUCAUCACCCAGCUCAAUGUUCGUUCAUCAUCCUACUGAUUCUACUUCAUUAAGUUUAAUACUCAGUAGUACAUAAGACGUUAUAUGACUGAUAUAAUUUUCUCAAGGAAUAAUUUUAAAUUUGCACAUAUCCUUCAAGCAUUUGUUUAUUUUAUAUAAAUUAUUAUAACUUUAAUAUAAGCUGAUGUUAUUUUGUUGAUAUGAAUUGUAUACUUUUCAUUUCUAUUUGUAUUUCUUAUCUCUUUCGUGUCAAUAAAGUAACAUCGAUAAAUAUAGAUUAAGAAAAUUGAAAUGACAAGCAAAAAGAGGCAAGGGGAUUUUGAACGGUUUUCUUCACUCUGACUGUACAUUAUUUUGAGAAACCUUCAAAAAUUUACCGCAUACUAUACCUAUAUAGAAAUCAUUAUUAGUCUUUAAGUAGUAGUUUAGUAAUUUCGGCUCCUUGAAUACGUAACUUCCAACACAAUUCGAGUUACCAUGUUAUACCUUCCGCUUGAUAAAAUGUAAAUAGAGUUGCAACGCUUUUCCAAUGCUUCUUGUUGGCCCUUUAGAUUUUUACUUUACAAUUAAACUCUGUCUUUAAAUAUUAGUAUAUUCUAUUAUUAUGUAGAUAAGACUGCGUUAAAUGUAAGCGGCUACUUUUAAAAAUUCAGUGUUGCCAAUAAAGACUGAAUUAUUAAAAUUAAUUUAACUUCUUUCGUCCUUCUCUUGGUAAAAAGGCCUAGAAAGAAUCCCACCCUAGGAUAUUUGAAAUUUAAAUCAAUGUAAGCGAAAGUAAAGGUAUAAUGUAGGGUAUAAUAAAGAUGUUUAUAUUAUUUUGAAA